rnacentral:rRNA from 1 species
AGAGUUUGAUCCUGGCUCAGAAUGAACGCUGGCGGCAUGCCUAACACAUGCAAGUCGAACGAGAUUUUCGGAUCUAGUGGCGCACGGGUGAGUAACGCGUGGGAACCUACCUUUUAGUACGGGACAACGUUUGGAAACGAACGCUAAUACCGUAUACGCCCUCCGGGGGAAAGGUCAGCCGCUAAAAGAGGGGCCCGCGUCUGAUUAGCUUGUUGGUAAGGUAAUGGCUUACCAAGGCUACGAUCAGUAGCUGGUCUGAGAGGAUGAUCAGCCACACUGGGACUGAGACACGGCCCAGACUCCUACGGGAGGCAGCAGUGGGGAAUAUUGGACAAUGGAGGCAACUCUGAUCCAGCAAUGCCGCGUGUGUGAUGAAGGCCCUAGGGUUGUAAAGCACUUUCAACGGUGAAGAUGAUGACGGUAGCCGAGAAG